UGCAAGCAUUUAUUUUUUAAUCAAUAUGAUAAAUUUGUGAAACAUAAAGAAGUGAUAAAGUGAUUUAAAGAUGUGUUUAAAUUUCAAAAGUGUAAUCAUUCGUAAUAUAUAUUAUAUGUUCUAUUUUCAUAUAUGAAAAUUAUUUUAUGUAAAUUUAUUCUACGUAUUUUACGUCGCAAUAAGAACAACUAUUAUCUUGUCAAGGAUAAACGUAUAAAGUGCAUUUCAGUGGUCGGUAUAGAAGUUUUCUGUUAAAGCAACGACCGUUGGGACAGAAUCGAUUUCACCCUUUCUCUGAAGAUGGCAACAACUCCCACAAUCCUAUGAAUAUUAAAACUGUGACCAACUUCAAUCGAUUAACGAGCAAACUUCGUCUAAUUGUUGGAACGCUAAUUAAAAUCAAGAAGUUGGAACUAAAUUAGGAAAGAUGGAACCGUGUGUCCCUAGCGUGUGUCGCCAACCACUAUAAACUUCAGAAGGCUGCAAUUACUUCACUUUGCACUUUUUCAACCAACAUCGUUUAAAGUGAAACCAUGCUGUGUAUUCUGUCUUUUAAGGAUUGGAAGACCGUUAUUGAGAAGAAAAGAAGAAAAUUGUGAAUUGGAGGAGCUCCAGUGGCCUGCAACUGAGUUAUAGCAACAGCACCGAACUUCCUGUUUCCUGAGUUGCUUCGAGCUGCCCGCCUUAUCAUCGCUUCCACUGUUCUUCCGUCACUGUGACCACGGUUCCUUCGUCGAGGUCAAACUCACAAGUUCGCCGCCGCCCCUCUCCAAGAUUCACCAGCUCGAUUCUCGAUUGCUUCGAAGUGUCAUUCCGACUGCUUCCAGAGCCGGCUGCUUCCAGAUCUUCGACAAAGCGCGAUAAUCCAAACUUUCGUUGGGCGAGGACAUUGGGCCGAGCACACUCGGAGGACACUGGAGGACGUGAAGGAAAGAUGAAACUGGCGCGAGAGAGAGAUGAGAAGCGAGACGACACGCAGGAAUCGAAUAUCUAUUAUUCUGAAGGCUCGACGAUGAAACGUCGUCGAAGAGGAUGGAUCCCGAGAUGGUGCUCCGAAGUUAUCCUCGUUCUUUUCUUUCCAUCGUUACCCGAUGUUCUCUCCCCGAGAAUGAAACUGCGGAGCGGAUCUUUUCGAUCGUUCGAUUCAUUUUCGGUGAACUUUGGUGAGCAAACGAUUCGAUUCUUCUUGUAUCCCGCCGGAUGGAACGGAUGAUCGAUGGAGGAAUGAUGAUGAGAAGAGGGACGAUAAAGUCAGAGCAACGGAUGACGGGAGUAAUUUUAGAAAUAGACGAAAUUUGUGUUGGAACGUCAGAAUUGAAAAAUUGUGUUUGCAAGAGUGAUUCCCUUGAAAAUUUAUGAAAUAAGUUUUAGUGAUAUGAUUUAAUGAGAUUUUUUUUUUUUACGUAUUGAUAAAGGAGGAUAAAAGGUAAUUUUAUGAUUAUGUGGAAAUCGUGAACAAUAUUAUUUUAAACGUUUUAAAAAUAAAUUAAUGGUAAGGUUUUUAAUUUUUAUAUUCCUUAAAAUAGAGAAUAAUUUUGACAUUUGAGCAAAUUGUGAAUCGUAUUGCGAAAUGUGAAGAUAUAUUAGAGGAUCUUUCGUUUAUCAGGGCAAAGAAGGAUUAUUGUAUGCGAAAAGGGAGAAAAUUGAAUGUGUGUUAGGUUGAUAGGUAACGUGACAUUAAAAAGAGAUAAAACCAACCCCUUUGAUUUCCCUGGAAAUUUCCAUUCUUCUCGAAUAUAAUAUAUAGAGACUGAAAGUAGGUGUCAUUUGUCUGCUCAAAGAUGUGACAACUUUUUUCGAGCUGGAGCUCUUUUUUUUUUUUUACACAAAUUCGAAUAAUAUUUUCAUCGCGAAUACGAAUUUAUAAAAUAUUUAAUUGCUGCAAGUUGUCGAAAAUUUUUUCGAGUAUUUGUUCAAAAAAAAAAUUGUUUAUCCUAAAAAAUUUUAACAAUCAGUAAACGCGAAUAAAAUAAUACCGUAUUUAUAUUUCAAUGGCAUUUUCGCAAGAUAAUAGCGUUCAAUCACUUUUCAGAUUACAUUUUAAAAAUUCAACGAAAGACAAUACGAAUAUAAAACGAUAAAAAAACGAUUCUUGCUUUUUCACGAAUAAUAAAGAAAAUUUAUCCACGAUACAUGAUAAAACUUCAAGAUCAACAUCAAAAUUUAAAAAAAAAAUUAUCGAUAACACGAUUUAUCGACAAUUUAUAAAUAUCAAAAAUAUUAUCAAAAUAUGUAAAUCAAUGCGACAAUGUUUAAAAAGCCAAGGAAUAUCCAAUUUCUUAAAAAGCCACGUAAUAAAAUAUUUCUCGUUGCCCUCUCGUUGCAGGGAGAGGGUUCGAUCGAUCGAUCGAAUUUAUUCAAGGAAGAAUCGAGUGUUAAAAUAGCGGAAGGACGGGUGGCCUUAGCGCUUUACGUUCUAACAAAUAAUAGAUCGCGUUGAGAUGAUCGAGGGAGGCUAUUUAUCUUCGGUAAAUCACGGCCAAGGGAGGAAAGAAUAAUGACAAAACGCUUACCUUCCCGGAACCCCUCGAGUUGCAUAAGAGAACACCGGCAGCGUGGAUUCUAUAUUCCUUGUCGAGUUGUUCGUGCUGUCCUUGAAUUUUCCUGCCGGCAAAAUCAACGGAAAAUUUUACGUAAAAUAGAUCUGCGGCACAUUAAUGUAGUGGAAAAUGUAUAUUUUAUGAUUUGAGAGAACGAAAUAACAAAAUAUAAAGCGUUGUUAAUAAUAGAAA